rnacentral:rRNA from 1 species
UAUGUAGGGGGCAAGCGUUGUCCGGAAUUAUUGGGCGUAAAGAGCGUGUAGGCGGUCCGGUAAGUCAGCUGUGAAAGUCAGGGGCUCAACCCUUGAAUGCCGGUUGAUACUGUCGGGCUAGAGUCCGGAAGAGGCGAGUGGAAUUCCCGGUGUAGCGGUGAAAUGCGCAGAUAUCAGGAGGAACACCAAUUGCGAAGGCAGCUCGCUGGGACGUUACUGACGCUGAGACGCGAAAGCGUGGGGAGCAAACAGG